rnacentral:tRNA from 1 species
AAAAAUUUAGUUAAAAAUAUAACGUUAGUUUGUCAAACUAAAAUUAAUAAAAAUUAAUUUUU